UGCAAGUCGAACGGUGCAGUAGCAAUACUGUACAGUGGCAAACGGGUGCGUAACGCGUAAGCAACCUGCCCACAACCGGGGGAUAGCCUGGCGAAAGCCGGGGUAAACCCGCAUGGUCCCCUGAAGCUGCAUAGCUUUUGGGGUAAACAUUUAUGGGUUGUGGAGGGGCUUGCGUCUGAUUAGGUAGUUGGUGGGGUAGUGGCCCACCAAGCCGAUGAUCAGUAGGGGUUCUGAGAGGAUUGGCCCCCACAUGGGUACUGAGAUACGGACCCAACUCCUACGGGAGGCAGCAGUAGGGAAUAUUGGGCAAUGGAGGCAACUCUGACCCAGCCAUGCCGCGUGCAGGAUGAAGGCGCUCAGCGUCGUAAACUGCUUUUAUCUGGGAAGAACAGUGGUUGUGCGCAAUCAUGUGACGGUACCAGAGGAAUAAGCACCGGCUAACUCCGUGCCAGCAGCCGCGGUAAUACGGAGGGUGCAAGCGUUGUCCGGAUUUAUUGGGUUUAAAGGGUGCGUAGGUGGCGUCUUAAGUCUGGUUUGAAAGCAGGCGGCUCAACCGUCUGAUGUGGCUGGAAACUGGGGCGCUUGAAUGGGUUGGCGGUAGCCGGAAUGGGUCAUGUAGCGGUGAAAUGCAUAGAUAUGACCCGGAACACCGAUUGCGAAGGCAGGCUACUACGACUUGAUUGACACUGAGGCACGAGAGCAUGGGUAGCGAACAGGAUUAGAUACCCUGGUAGUCCAUGCCGUAAACGAUGAUUACUGGCUGUGUGUACUACAGUAUGCGUGGCUGAGCGAAAGCGUUAAGUAAUCCACCUGGGGAGUACGCUGGCAACAGUGAAACU
rnacentral:rRNA from 1 species